UACGGCUCAGUAACACGUGGACAACCUGCCCAAAGGUCCGGGAUAACCCCGGGAAACUGGGGAUAAUACCGGAUAAAUCACAAGUACUGGAAGGUCUUGUGGUUGAAACUUCCGGGGCCUUUGGAUGGGUCUGCGGCGGAUUAGGUUGUUGCCGGUGUAACGUACCGUCAAGCCUGUAAUCCGUACGGGUUGUGGGAGCAAGAGCCCGGAGAUGGAUUCUGAGACACGAAUCCAGGCCCUACGGGGCGCAGCAGGCGCGAAAACUCUACAAUGCAGGCAACUGCGAUAGGGGAACAUCGAGUGAUACUCAUAUUGGGUGUCUGUCCACCCGUCUAAAAAACGGGUGUUAGCAAGGGCCGGGCAAGACCGGUGCCAGCCGCCGCGGUAAUACCGGCGGCUCGAGUGGUGGCCGAUAUUAUUGAGUCUAAAGGGUCCGUAGCAGGCUUUGCAAGUCUUUUGGGAAAUCCAGCGGCUUAACCGUUGGUCGUCCGGGAGAUACUACAUUGCUUGGGACUGGGAGAGGUAGGAGGUACUCAGGGGGUAGGAGUGAAAUCCUGUAAUCCUUUGGGGACCACCGGUGGCGAAGGCGUCCUACCAGAACAGGUCCGACGGUGAGGGACGAAAGCUAGGGGCACGAACCGGAUUAGAUACCCGGGUAGUCCUAGCCGUAAACGAUGCUCGCUAGGUGUCACAACAAUCGUGAAUUGUUGUGGUGCCGUAGGGGAGCCGUGAAGCGAGCCACUUGGGAAGUACGACCGCAAGGUUGAAACUUAAAGGAAUUGGCGGGGGAGCACCACAACGGGUGGAGCCUGCGGUUUAAUUGGACUCAACGCCGGG
rnacentral:rRNA from 1 species